rnacentral:rRNA from 1 species
GACGAACGCUGGCGGCGUGCUUAACACAUGCAAGUCGAACGGAAAGGCCCUGCUUUUGUGGGGUGCUCGAGUGGCGAACGGGUGUGUAACACGUGUGUAACCUGCCCUUGACUUUGGGAUAACUUCAGGAAACUGGGUCUAAUACCGGAUAGGAGCUCCUGCUGCAUGGUGGGUGUUGGAAUGUUUCGGCGGUUGGGUAUGGUCUCGCGGGUUCUCCGCUUGUUGGUGGGGUUGUGGCUUACCAAGGCUUUGACGGGUAGCCGGCCUGAGAGGGUGACCGGCCAAAUGGGGACUGAGAUACGGCCCAGACUCCAAGGGGAGGCAGCAGGGGGGAAUAUUGCACAAUGGGCGGAAGCCUGAUGAAGCAACGCCGCGUGCGGGAUGACGGCCUUCGGGUUGUAAACCGCUUUCGCCUGUGACGAAGCGUGAGUGACGGUAAUGGGUAAAGAAGCACCGGCUAACUACGUG